rnacentral:rRNA from 1 species
UACGGAGGGUGCGAGCGUUGUCCGGAAUCAUUGGGCGUAAAGGGCGCGUAGGUGGCCCGGUCAGUUCGUGGUGAAAGCGCGGGGCUCAACCCUGCGUCGGCCAUGAAUACUGCCGCGGCUGGAGCACUGUAGAGGGCAGGCGGAAUUCCGGGUGUAGCGGUGGAAUGCGUAGAGAUCCGGAAGAACACCGGUGGCGAAGGCGGC